AGGACGAACGCUGGCGGCGUGCUUAACACAUGCAAGUCGAGCGGUAAGGCCUUUCGGGGUACACGCGCGGCGAACGGGUGAGUAACACGUGGGUGAUCUGCCCUGCACUCUGGGAUAAGCCUGGGAAACUGGGUCUAAUACCGGAUAUGACCUGCUCUCGCAGUGGGGGUGGGUGGAAAGAUUUAUCGGUGCAGGAUGGGCCCGCGGCCUAUCAGCUUGGUUGGUGGGUAAUGGCCUACCGAAGGCGACGGACGGGUAGCCGACCUGGAGGACGGGUCGACCGGCCACGACGUCGGGAACUGAGACCACGGCCCAGACCUCCGACGGGA
rnacentral:rRNA from 1 species